GGGUGUUUGGCCGAGUGGUUAAGGCGCUGUGUUUAGGCGAUCCAGGCUCUGUCUGGAUGCUUGAAUCCCGCAGUGGGAAACCGCGCAGGUUCGAAUCCUGCAGCACUCA